GUGCCUUUUCAAGACUGACACAUGCCCUGAGAGGAUAGUACAGAAGGGUAAAGUGAGUCUCCAUUAAACCCAGAGAAGAGAUUAUAAAACUGCUCUUAGAAUUCUACCUGAGAAAAAAGA